AUGGAGCGCGCGAACACGGAGCUGUACCUGGAGAACCUGUGCAUCAUGCAGGCGAACGAGCGGCUCCGGCGGACAGCACAGCUGCUGGCCCAGGAGAACGAGCAGCUCCUCGCCGAUCUCAAGCGCAAGCAGCAGCACAUGGCGGCCUCCUCCAAGACGGCGGCCCAGCUGGCCAAGGGCGGCGGGCCGUCCGGCGCUAACGUGGCGUCGGCGCGCGCGGCGCCGUCCAAGUCCGGCAAGCAGCAGCCCCAGUGA
rnacentral:rRNA from 1 species